UACGGGGGGUGCAAGCGGUAGCCAUUUUUAUUGGGCCUAAAGCGUUCGUAGCCGGUUUGAUAAGUCUCUGGUGAAAUCCUAUGGCUUAACUGUGGGAAUUGCUGGAGAUACUAUUAGACUUGAGGUCGGGAGAGGUUAGCGGUACUCCCAGGGUAGGGGUGAAAUCCUGUAAUCCUGGGAGGACCACCUGUGGCGAAGGCGGCUAACUGGAACGAACCUGACGGUGAGGG
rnacentral:rRNA from 1 species